CCUACGGGUGGCAGCAGUGAGGAAUAUUGGUCAAUGGCCGGAAGGCUGAACCAGCCAUGCCGCGUGAAGGGCAGGGACCUACGGGCGUUAAACUUCUUUUGUGCGGGAGCAAGAAUGGUCACGUGUGGCCAGACGAGAGUACCGUACGAAGAAGCAGCGGCGAACUCCGUGCCAGCAGCCGCGGUAAUACGGGGGAUGCAAGCGUUCUCCGGCUUUAUUGGGUUUAAAGGGUGCGUAGGCUGUGAGGUAAGUCAGCGGUGAAAUGCCCCCGCUCAACGGGGUGAAGUGCCAUUGAUACUGCCUUGCUGGACUGCUGAUGCCGUGGGAGGCCUGUGUUGUGUAGCGG
rnacentral:rRNA from 1 species